rnacentral:misc_RNA from 1 species
AGUAAAUCGUACAAGGUUUCGUAGGUGAACUGCGAAGGAUCAUUAAUAAAUGGUCUACGUUUUUUAAGUAGACGCUUAUAAUCCUACCUUUGUGAAUUGUUGUUUUGAAAUAAUUUUUUUUAAAAUAUUGAUUGUCUUUCCCUGUUGAAUUGGUUUCUAAUGGCAAAUGAUUCGCAGGGGAGUGUCAGUAAUUUUAAAAGACUUUUUAAAAUUAAACUUUUGUAUUCAUUUGUCUAAAAUUAUUUUAUAAUAUAAAAACACUUUGACAAUGGAUCUCUGGUUCUCGCAACGAUGAAGAACGCAGCAAAAUGCGAUAAGUAGUGUGAAUUGCAGAUACGUGAAUCAUCGAAUCUUCGAACGCAUAUUGCACUUUUUUAGUUUACUAAAAAGUAGUCUGUUUGAGUAUCAGUAAAUAUUCUCAUAAAAACAUUGUUUUUAUGGUUAUGAGUGUUUUACAACGAUACAAGUUGUUUCACUUUAAAUUUUUUAAAUUCGAUUUUCUAGUUUAAAUAAAAUUGGAUAAAAUUCCCGUAAAAAGGAAUAACCUAAACAAUUUUAAAUUUUGAUUAGAAUUCUUCACAUUCUAAAGGAAAUUUAACUAAAUAACUUGAUCUCAAACCAGAUAAGGUACCCGCUGACUUAAGAUAUCAAUAAGCGAGAAAAGAACUAACAAGGAUUCCCUAGUAACGGCGAGUGAAGCGGAAGAGCUCAAUUUGAAAUCUUAAAGGUUCCCUUUACGAAUUGUAGUUUAAAGAAGUGUUUUCUGUUGAAAUUUUGGUAAAAGUUCUUUGGAAUAGGACAUCAUAGAGGUGAGAUCCGUAUUGACAUUAUCUUCAGCUAUGUGAUACACUUCAAAGAGUCGGAUUGUUUGGAAUGCAGUCAAAUGGUGUAAAUUUCAUCUAAAGCUAAUAUUGGCGAGAGACCGAUAGCGAACAAGUACGUGAGGGAAGAUGAAAGAACUUUGAAAAGAGAGUUAAACAGUACGUGAAAUUGUCAAAAGGGAAGCGUUUGACACCAGUGUUGUUCUCUGAAAAUCAAUUACAGGAAAGUUUAUUAAGUGUUAAGACUUUAUCAGCUUACUGCUUAAUUUUGAGCUUUUCUUUAAUGCACUUUCAGUUUACAAUCAACAUCAAUUUCUUUUGUUGUAAAAAGUAAGGGAAAGGUGGCUCAAGCUCGGCUUAAGUGUUUAUAGUCCUUUGCUUCUGCAAUCGAGAGAUUGAGGUCUGCAGCGUAGAUCCUUUUUUGGAUUAGAUACAUUUGUGCUAAGUUACAGCUCUUUAUAGACAACUGUUGACUAUGAUCAGUCUUGUAGCUUACUCGCUUAUGCUAUUUUACUACGCUUAGGAUGUUG